UGGUAUGGGUUUCCUCCCCCUCUUGCAUGCUGCCAAUGGUAGCAGAAAUUUUUAGCUGUCUUACAAGAACAACAUGUGAACGAACUACUGGCGUCCUUAGUACCUGGAUAGGUUUCAGCUGUCUUUCAGCACCCCAGGAUUAAACCACACGUCAAAAACUUUGAGGCUAACAAACACUAUUGUGCGGCAUUUGGCAGCGUCUUCAUCACCAACUUGCAAGCGAGAAGCAAGAGAGAAGUGCAUAGGGGAGAACAGAAGCUGACUGUCACCUUAACUUUUAAUCUAUAGCAACAACACAAUCCCAAAAAGACAUAACCACAGAAGUUGUCAGGUCAUAUACUAGCAUAACAAAGGAACUCAUCAAUGUCAACAAAAAAUAUCAGUGUUCAUGUUUGUGCACCAAAUAACAUGUUCAACAUAAGAGGUACAAGAUUCCACAUCACAGAUUGGUCAAGAUGUUCGGGAUACUACACAUAACAUGUUCAACAUAAGAGGUACAAGAUUCCACAACACAGAUUGGUUAAGGUGUUCACGAUACUACGCAUAACAUAUUUAACUCACAGGGCACAAAAGUACCCACACAGAUUGGUCAAGGCGUUCAGGAUACUACAUAUAGCAUGUUCAACUCACAGGGCACAAAAGUACCCAGACAGAUUGGCCAAGGCGUUCAGGUUACUCCAUGUUCAACACAAGAGCAGGGUUCAAGAUUACCAUGCUUAAGCACCUUUAUCCACAGUCGUGAAGUUGAUAUCAAGGGGACCUUGGUAGCUAGCCUUCCUCGCAAGGAUCCCACGGACAAUCUUAUAAUCAAACAUAAGAAUAUGAAGGAAAUGAUCUAUUAGCUAAUCCAAUGGUGUACCUCCACGCACACUCACAUCAGCAGUGUCAGUCACAAAGGGCCUAACUGAUCUGCUUGGGCGACCAAUCUUUGUGACUCACGCUUCAUAGCUGGAAACUGGUCUAACGCCUUGCAGUUGUUGAACAUACCAAGAAAUCUCCUCCCCAACGCAGCUCGGUUCUCCCUCAUUUUCUCAAACAUUGUAUGAAACACAGCCGGAGCAUUAUUCUCAUCUUGCCAGGAAGGAUUAUCCUCCUUCAUAUUAGCAGUAAGCUGCUCCUCCAAGAGAAGUAACACUAAACAGAAUGUUGU
rnacentral:lncRNA from 1 species